CCUUCGAUAGCUCAGUUGUAGAACGGGGGACUGUAGAUUUAUAAUUGUGAUCCCCUUUGUCGCUGGUUCGAAUCCGUCUCCAAGGA
rnacentral:tRNA from 1 species